GCCUGGGUGGCUUUGUCGGUGGAGCAUCUGACUUCGACUCAGGUCAUGAUCAUGAGGUUUGUGAGUUCGAGACCCACGUCGGGCU
rnacentral:tRNA from 1 species